UACGUAGGGGGCAAGCGUUGUCCGGAUUUAUUGGGCGUAAAGAGCGUGUAGGCGGCUGGGUAGGUCCGCUGUGAAAACUCGAGGCUUAACCUCGAGACGCCGGUGGAAACCAUCAGACUAGAGUCCGGAAGAGGAGAGUGGAAUUCCUGGUGUAGCGGUGAAAUGCGCAGAUAUCAGGAGGAACACCAGUGGCGAAGGCGGCGAUCUGGGAAGAUACUGACGCUGAGGUGCGAAAGCGUGGGGAGCAAACAGG
rnacentral:rRNA from 1 species